CCCGCCGCCCUCCUGAUGCUGCUCGUGAACGCCGAUCGGCCGGAGCCCGUGGGAGCUCGCGCUCUUCCUGACCCCCGAGCCUGGGGCCGAGGCGAAGGAGGUGGAGGAGACCAUCGAGGGCAUGCUCCUCAGGCUGGAAGAGUUUUGCAGCCUGGCUGACCUGAUCAGGAGUGAUACGUCACAGAUCCUGGAGGAAAACAUCCCAGUCCUUAAGGCCAAACUGACAGAAAUGCGUGGCAUCUCCGCCAAAGUGGACCGGCUAGAGGCCUUCGUCAAGAUGGUCGGACACCAUGUUGCGUUCCUGGAAGCGGACGUACUUCAGGCUGAGCGGGACCAUGGGGCCUUCCCGCAGGCCCUGCGGAGGUGGCUGGGAUCCGCAGGGCUCCCCUCCUUCAGGAACAAGUCGCCUGCGCCAGUACCCGUGACGUAUGAGCUGCCCACACUAUACAGGACGGAGGACUAUUUUCCUGCGGACGCCAGGGAGGCACAGCACCACCCCUGCACCUGCCCUCGGCCUUUGUGAGCUUUGUGGUCUUCCCAUCAGGAAUGCUGGAAAAGUGACAUUGUGUACAUGCUGCAGCUUGGGGGUUUUUUCUUUGUAUUGCUGUUUAUUUUAUAUUUUAAAGAGAUUUUUUUAAAUGUCGAGAUGGGCUCUCACUAUGUUGUCCAGGCUGAUCUCAAACUCCUCGGCUCAAGUGAUCCACCUGCCUUGGCCUUCCGAAGUGGUGGGAUCACGGGCAGCAGCCUCCGCACCCAGGCUGCUGCCAUUUUCAGAUUUCCUCCCUGCCUCAUGUGAGACUACAGGGUUUGGAGAAGCAGU